UCUGUCAGGACAGAGAGAGAGAGAGAAUGUGUUGCAUGCCUUCUCCACAAGUAGGUUAGAGGUUGUGAAAGGGAGUAUCCACUGUCUCCACUGAAUCUCUUCUUCCACAGGUAUUUUCUGGGACACUGCACUAUACAACUUUAUUUGAUGGCAGAACAUUCAGAGGCUGUAAGCUUGACACAUGGCAAAAUGCUUCUGCUGUUUCUGAGUCUCGGUUUGGUCACUUCUAACGUCCAGUCAGGAAGACAAGACCACGUGCUCCACAUCUGAGACACAGCUGCAAAGAUUUGCGGUUUAGGACACUGUCGUCAACCCCCCCCCCCCUGCAUCUUUGUCCUUCCCUGGCCUGUGGCACCGCUGUUGGUUAUCUGUACCACCGCGGUAUUGACCACUCGCACGGCUGCAAGGGGUUAAUGUAAUGUGUGAAAAUCAAUCGGUUGUAGCAGGACAGAACCACAACCUGACAUGUAGAGUGGAUUACCGUAAUGCUGAUCAGAAGAAUACAGGAUGUAAAACUGAACGUGGGAAAUGACAGACCAGAGCCGCCACAAUAUGUAUCGUCAGGUCCCAUAUCGUCAUUAUCAUCACUGUUCUGGGUGUUCUACUGUUUCUCAUCACUUCUGAUUAUGGCAGAAGAUUGAUGGGUCGACUUCCUUGAGAAGAAUGCUGACAAGAGCCCUGAAGCUACCGGAGAUGCCCUAAACCUGGAGCCUGCAUAACAUUCAGUUCAUGGAGGAGACGUGUGUGUUAAUUAUUCUAUCCUUGUGGGGACAUAUCCUAAGUCCCCAUAAAGACAAAGGCUAUUUUAAGCUUAGGUUUAGGGUUACAAUUAGGGUUAGGAGUUAGGUUUGGGUUAG